rnacentral:ncRNA from 1 species
GAAAGCCGUAUGAGGGAGAACCUCACGUACGGUUUGAUGAGGGGGAGCUGAAAGUAAAAGGGGAGAAAUCCCUUUUGAAAUCAGUUCUCUACUCUAC